AACGAACGCUGGCGGCAGGCUUAACACAUGCAAGUCGAGCGCAUCCUUCGGGGUGAGCGGCGGACGGGUGAGUAACGCGUGGGAACGUGCCCUCUUCUACGGAAUAGCCUCGGGAAACUGAGAGUAAUGCCGUAUACGCCCGCAAGGGGAAAGAGUUAUCGGAGGCGGAUCGGCCCGCGUUGGAUUAGGUGGUUGGUGGGGGAACGGCCUACCAAGCUGACGAUCCAUAGCUGGUGUGAGAGGAUGAUCCGCCACACUGGGACUGAGACACGGCCCAGACUCCUACGGGAGGCAGCAGUGGGGAAUCUUGGACAAUGGGGGCAACCCUGAGCCAGCCAUGCCGCGUGAUCGAUGAAGGCCUUAGGGUUGUAAAGAUCUUUCAGCUGGGAAGAUAAUGACGGUACCAGCAGAAGAAGCCCCGGCUAACUCCGUG
rnacentral:rRNA from 1 species